rnacentral:rRNA from 1 species
UACAUGAAGCUGGAAUCGCUAGUAAUCGCGGAUCAGAAUGCCGCGGUGAAUACGUUCCCGGGUCUUGUACACACCGCCCGUCACACCAUGGGAGUCGGAAAUGCCCGAAGUCUGUGACCUAACCGAGAGGGAGGAGCAGCCGAAGGCAGGUCUGAUGACUGGGGUGAAGUCGUAACAAGGUAGC